rnacentral:rRNA from 1 species
AUGCUACACCAAGAACAAUAUCACACUGGCUCGGAGGAGAGAGGGGUCGACACCAACGGGGCAUAUGCUGUCACCAUGCACCUACGGGCACCGGCACGGCACAUCCGGUACACCAUCUUCGAAGAAGGACACUACCUCCUUGCCUGGAUCGAAGGCGCCGCACCGUCGCAAGAUGAGAUGGACGCCGCCGGAAGAUGGCCACAUAGAGAAGGUCAGCGCAUCCCCAACGAGACCCAGAGGCUCUCCUUGAGGAGAACAUCGCCGCUGCACACAUCCAACACCGGAGGGGGAAGUUUCACGUCAGAUGCAUAUAUCUAA